rnacentral:misc_RNA from 1 species
UUAAGUUCAGCGGGUGGUCCUACCUGAUUUGAGGUCAAGUUUAUCAAGUGGCAACUGUCAGCAGCAUAACCAAUGGGCUGGCCUUGAUUAGAUGCAGAUUGUGUAUCACACCUAGCCAAAGUUCCAAUAUAGGUACCGCUUAUAUCUUUCAGAGGAGCAGACUGCAAGGAGUCAGAGCCUGCAUGUUCCCUCCAAGUCCA